rnacentral:rRNA from 1 species
UACAGAGGGGGCAAGCGUUGUUCGGAAUUACUGGGCGUAAAGGGCGCGUAGGCGGCCUUCUAAGUCGAACGUGAAAUCCCCAGGCUCAACCUGGGAACUGCGUCUGAUACUGGAUGGCUUGAAUCCGGGAGAGGGAUGCAGAAUUCCAGGUGUAGCGGUGAAAUGCGUAGAUAUCUGGAGGAAUACCGGUGGCGAAGGCGGCAUCCUGGACCGGCAUUGACGCUGAGGAGCGAAAGCCAGGGAGCAAACGGG